rnacentral:rRNA from 1 species
UACGUAGGGGGCAAGCGUUGUCCGGAAUCAUUGGGCGUAAAGAGCGUGUAGGCGGCCCGGUAAGUCCGCUGUGAAAGUCGAGGGCUCAACCCUCGAAUGCCGGCGGAUACUGUCGGGCUAGAGUCCGGAAGAGGCGAGUGGAAUUCCUGGUGUAGCGGUGAAAUGCGCAGAUAUCAGGAGGAACACCGAUGGCGAAGGCAGCUCGCUGGGACGUUACUGACGCUGAGACGCGAAAGCGUGGGGAGCAAACAGG